rnacentral:rRNA from 1 species
CCCUUAGAUGUUCUGGGCCGCACGCGUGCUACACUGAGUGGAUCAGCGGGUCAGGUUGCGCGAAAGCGUUUCCUAAUCUUUAAAUCCGCUCGUGAUGGGGAUUGACGGUUGCAAUUUUCUGUCAUGAACGAGGAAUACCUUGUAAGCGCGGGUCAUCAUCCCGCGCUGAAUACGUCCCUGCCCUUUGUACACACCGCCCGUCGCUCCUACCGAUUGAGCGGUUUAGUGAGGGCCUCGGAUUGGUCUCGGCCCGCUCUUUACCGGGCGGCGCCGUUGGUCGAGAAGACGCUCGAACUUGAUCGUUUAGAGGAAGUAAAAGUCGUAACA